GUCCAAAAAAAGGAAAGGAAUGUGCUCACUGGGGCCCACCAUGUCUAUCUGAAGCUUGCUGAUUACCCAGAGGGCUCUCCCUCUGUGCUGGAACUUGCUUCCUUAUCUAUGUUUGCAGCCAGAUCAUUGAAGCUGCUCUUUGUUAGAAAGGGAAUUCUGCUGAGGACUCUUUGCCCUAUCUGCCUAGCUGGUUUCUUCCUUUCUGCUCUCUCAGUAUGAAGAUGGAGUCUCUGUUGCCCAGGCUGGAGUGCAAUGGCAUGAUCUCAUCUCAUUGCAACUUUCUCCUCCUGAGUUCAAGCAAUUCUUCAGCCUCAGCCUUCUGAGAAGCUAGGAUUACAGGUGCCUGCCACCGUGCCCAACUAAUUUUUGCAUUUUUAGUAGAGACAGGCUUUCCCAAUGUUAGCCAGGCUGGUCUUGAACUCCCAACCUCAGGCGAUCUACUCUCCUUGGCCUCCCAAGUGCUGGGAUUACAGGGUUCUGUAAUAAAAUAUCAUAAACUGGAUGGCUUACAAACAAAAAUUAUUUCUCACAGUUCUAUAGGCCAGAAAGUUUAAGAUCGAGGCACCAACAGCUUUUGUGCCUGGUCUGUGAUCAUAACAGAGCUGAAUGGACUUGAGUGAUUAUUCUCUUCUUCCCUCAUGAAGAAAGACCUUGCCUUAGAUAUGGAAUGAAAGGACAUAUGAAAAAAAUAGAGGUGCUAAUUUGUGCUUUGCAGAGACAACAGUCAGUUCAAUCCUUAUCUUAUCUGAUUGUAGUGCCAAAGAAAAUACUAAAAUAAUAGAGAAACACUAUAAAGCCAUAAAGAUAG
rnacentral:lncRNA from 1 species